AUUCUCUCUUGCCAUCAGACUCCUUGAAUGCGAUGCGUUUUGUGACAGCUGUAGCAGAGAGGGAAAAAGAGAGAGACGCGCUAGAGAGUGUCUAUUUAGCUCUGGAAGAGAAUGUGGCGCACUCAUCAGGACAUUACCCAGCCUGCCUCGCUCACUGAGGCAUGAUUAAAAGCAGGUCUCUCAGCCAAUGAGGUGGAGGAAUUUCUGACUCUCUCCAAAUCUCAGCCAAUCAAAGACAAGCUGAAGAGUGUCACACGGGAAGCACUGGAGUAUAAAUGCUUUAGUCUUCCAUUCAUCGUGUGUCAUGUGAAUGGGAAGGCUGAGGUCUUCUUUGGUUCCGACAAAUUUGAGCUCAUGGCUUAUUUCAUUGGGGAGAAGUGGAUGGGGCCGUACCCUAACAAGCCCACAGCCACAAUGUGAUCACUACUCCUCCAUACUCAAUAUCCAUAUACAACAGCAAGCACACACACAAACGCAGAGAUUUACAUUUAAAGGGGAAAUGUAAUAAAAUUUUCACUUUUUAGGUUUCUGGUGUGUCUGCCAGCUCGGAAAAGCUAAAAAGAAAACAAGCAGCCAGUUUGUUGAGUCUGAAACUGUGUCAUCCAGUGAGAAAUUUCGAUUUGCAGCAAGUUUCUAUGUAGCUAAUUGAAUAAGACCACCUCCGAGCCACAUGUUACAGACACUUCAUGAAGGCCCUAAAGAAUCACCAACUUGUGGAAAAUGGUGUGGCAUUCGUUGGCAGCUGCCACCCUAAGAAAAUACUUUGCCCAUCUGCCACCUCAGAAUUAUGCAGAACUAGUCUGUGUUUAUUGUGUUCAUGAAUAAAGGAACAAGGAAAAA